AGUGUGUGUGUUAGUGGAAGCGUCUGGAAAGGCGCGCGAUACAGGGUGACAGCCCCGUACACAAAAAUGCACAUAUUGUGAGCUCGAUGAGUAGGGCGGGACACGUGGUAUCCUGUCUGAAUAUGGGGGGACCAUCCUCCAAGGCUAAAUACUCCUGACUGACCGAUAGUGAACCAGUACCGUGAGGGAAAGGCGAAAAGAACCCCGGCGAGGGGAGUGAAAAAGAACCUGAAACCGUGUACGUACAAGCAGUGGGAGCCUCUUAAUGGGGUGACUGCGUACCUUUUGUAUAAUGGGUCAGCGACUUAUAUUCUGUAGCAAGGUUAACCGAAUAGGGGAGCCGAAGGGAAACCGAGUCUUAACUGGGCGUUAAGUUGCAGGGUAUAGACCCGAAACCCGGUGAUCUAGCCAUGGGCAGGUUGAAGGUUGGGUAACACUAACUGGAGGACCGAACCGACUAAUGUUGAAAAAUUAGCGGAUGACUUGUGGCUGGGGGUGAAAGGCCAAUCAAACCGGGAGAUAGCUGGUUCUCCCCGAAAGCUAUUUAGGUAGCGCCUCGUGAAUUCAUCUCCGGGGGUAGAGCACUGUUUCGGCAAGGGGGUCAUCCCGACUUACCAACCCGAUGCAAACUGCGAAUACCGGAGAAUGUUAUCACGGGAGACACACGGCGGGUGCUAACGUCCGUCGUGAAGAGGGAAACAACCCAGACCGCCAGCUAAGGUCCCAAAGUCAUGGUUAAGUGGGAAACGAUGUGGGAAGGCCCAGACAGCCAGGAUGUUGGCUUAGAAGCAGCCAUCAUUUAAAGAAAGCGUAAUAGCUCACUGGUCGAGUCGGCCUGCGCGGAAGAUGUAACGGGGCUAAACCAUGCACCGAAGCUGCGGCAGCGACACUAUGUGUUGUUGGGUAGGGGAGCGUUCUGUAAGCCUGUGAAGGUGGCCUGUGAGGGUUGCUGGAGGUAUCAGAAGUGCGAAUGCUGACAUAAGUAACGAUAAAGCGGGUGAAAAGCCCGCUCGCCGGAAGACCAAGGGUUCCUGUCCAACGUUAAUCGGGGCAGGGUGAGUCGACCCCUAAGGCGAGGCCGAAAGGCGUAGUCGAUGGGAAACAGGUUAAUAUUCCUGUACUUGGUGUUACUGCGAAGGGGGGACGGAGAAGGCUAUGUUGGCCGGGCGACGGUUGUCCCGGUUUAAGCGUGUAGGCUGGUUUUCCAGGCAAAUCCGGAAAAUCAAGGCUGAGGCGUGAUGACGAGGCACUACGGUGCUGAAGCGACAAAUGCCCUGCUUCCAGGAAAAGCCUCUAAGCAUCAGGUAACAUCAAAUCGUACCCCAAACCGACACAGGUGGUCAGGUAGAGAAUACCAAGGCGCUUGAGAGAACUCGGGUGAAGGAACUAGGCAAAAUGGUGCCGUAACUUCGGGAGAAGGCACGCUGAUAUGUAGGUGAAGCGACUUGCUCGUGGAGCUGAAAUCAGUCGAAGAUACCAGCUGGCUGCAACUGUUUAUUAAAAACACAGCACUGUGCAAACACGAAAGUGGACGUAUACGGUGUGACGCCUGCCCGGUGCCGGAAGGUUAAUUGAUGGGGUUAGCGGUAACGCGAAGCUCUUGAUCGAAGCCCCGGUAAACGGCGGCCGUAACUAUAACGGUCCUAAGGUAGCGAAAUUCCUUGUCGGGUAAGUUCCGACCUGCACGAAUGGCGUAAUGAUGGCCAGGCUGUCUCCACCCGAGACUCAGUGAAAUUGAACUCGCUGUGAAGAUGCAGUGUACCCGCGGCAAGACGGAAAGACCCCGUGAACCUUUACUAUAGCUUGACACUGAACAUUGAGCCUUGAUGUGUAGGAUAGGUGGGAGGCUUUGAAGUGUGGACGCCAGUCUGCAUGGAGCCGACCUUGAAAUACCACCCUUUAAUGUUUGAUGUUCUAACGUGGGCCCCUUACCGGGGUUGCGGACAGUGUCUGGUGGGUAGUUUGACUGGGGCGGUCUCCUCCUAAAGAGUAACGGAGGAGCACGAAGGUUGGCUAAUCCUGGUCGGACAUCAGGAGGUUAGUGCAAUGGCAUAAGCCAGCUUGACUGCGAGCGUGACGGCGCGAGCAGGUGCGAAAGCAGGUCAUAGUGAUCCGGUGGUUCUGAAUGGAAGGGCCAUCGCUCAACGGAUAAAAGGUACUCCGGGGAUAACAGGCUGAUACCGCCCAAGAGUUCAUAUCGACGGCGGUGUUUGGCACCUCGAUGUCGGCUCAUCACAUCCUGGGGCUGAAGUAGGUCCCAAGGGUAUGGCUGUUCGCCAUUUAAAGUGGUACGCGAGCUGGGUUUAGAACGUCGUGAGACAGUUCGGUCCCUAUCUGCCGUGGGCGCUGGAGAACUGAGGGGGGCUGCUCCUAGUACGAGAGGACCGGAGUGGACGCAUCACUGGUGUUCGGGUUGUCAUGCCAAUGGCACUGCCCGGUAGCUAAAUGCGGAAGAGAUAAGUGCUGAAAGCAUCUAAGCACGAAACUUGCCCCGAGAUGAGUUCUCCCUGACUCCUUGAGAGUCCUGAAGGAACGUUGAAGACGACGACGUUGAUAGGCCGGGUGUGUAAGCGCAGCGAUGCGUUGAGCUAACCGGUACUAAUGAACCGUGAGGCUUAACCUUACAACGCCGAAG
rnacentral:rRNA from 1 species